GGGAGCAUCUCUGUAGAUCCAGCUCCAGGAGGGAGAGGAGAGGCUUCAAGGUUUAACAUAUCCAAAGCACAUGAUGUCAAUUUGUCUCCAUUAAAGAAAAAAUUUAAAGACACUCAUUAAAGAUGGUAAGAAAAAAAAGAUGGUAAGAAAAAAAAAUGGUAAGAAAGAUUUUGUUUAAGAGGGACUACUGCAAUGGGGUUAUUAAUGUGUUUACCCACCACUUUUCCCUAUUAUACUAUUAGGUUACUAUUUUCUUCAGGUUACUACUUUAAAAUUUGUAAUUAAUAAAUAUCUUAUUGGAACAUAUCUGAAACUAUAUAAAUAUCAGGUUUUUCAUCAAACUUUCACCCAUUAGUUUUAGUAUCCAGAAAUGAUUCUCACUUGAAUCAAUCAUUACUGUGAUGACUGGGAAUGGUAAUUUUCUAGUUUCAUUUUUCCUUCUUCUAUAAGGAGAGCUUUCCAGUCACAUAUAUUUAUUUAGUUAAUAUUAGCAUGGACUUAGGGAUCCUUAUUUUAUUCAGUAGGUUAUAAUCUGUUACUGUGACUGUUUUGAUGCUUAAAGUGUCCUUGAUUUGGUCAGUGGAAGUCCCUUCAAGUUGGCUCCUUUGUUCUUUUGAUAUUUUUGAGGAGUCCUUUAAUUUCUGGCACAAGUUGUUCCAGGCUCAUCUUGUACCUUUCCUGCCACAGCCUUGAAAUCAGCCAUUUUCCCAAGGGGAGUGGUUCCUUUUUUGGAGGAUGGAAUUUAGAAUCAAAGAUCUGGGCACUGGCUGUGCUUGUUGCUACUAGGGUGUCAUUGUUCAAUGAUUCAAUCUCUAAUUCUAAGGUUUCAGAUUCCACAAUUUAACACUUGUAUCUGUGAACAAAGAUGCAUAUUCAAGGACAUUUAUUUUCUCAUCACUUUCUCAGCUUAUUUCUCAAAUGCCUCCUAACUGUUCUCCCUAUUUCUACAAUGGCCCCUCUAUAGUCUCUUUUCCACACAUCAUCCAGAAUAAUUUUUUAAAAAUCUCAUCACAUUUCCCUGUGCUCAUAAUGUUCCUCUAAGGAAAAAAAAUCCAAAAUUUUCUACAUCACUUCAAGAUGCCACAGGAUCCAGCUUCAUCUGUAACUUCAUUAACUAUUCAGUUCAGUUCAGUCACUCAGUCGUGUCUGACUCUUUGUGACCCCAUGAACCACAGCAUGCCAGGCCUCACGGUCCAUCACCAACUCCUGGAGUCCACCCAAACCCAUGUCCACUGAGUUGGUGACACCAUCCAUUAACUGUUACAUUCUCACUAACUCACCAGACAAGGACACCCCAGCCAAGGGUGUUUGUACUUGCUUUUCUCCCCCAGCUAUUCAAAUGGCUUGUAAAGGUCUUUAUUAGGUCUCCACUGAAGAGUCACCUCUUCUGAGAAGCCUUCCGUAAGUAUCCUGAUGAAAACAGCACCUCAUCACUUAUUGCUGUAUGACACUGCAUUGUAUAUUCCCCUUUGCUUAUUGUCAGUCUUCAUUUCCCUACAUUACAUCUCUAGAGUAAGCUCUAUAGAGGGCAGAGAGUUGUUUAUUUUUCUCCUAGAGCCCCAGUGCCUAGAAUACUGCCCAGCAUAUGUGGGCUUUCAAAUGCCUGUCAAGUCAAUGAAGAUGACUUUCAUUCCUUGGGACUUUUGCAUUCACCAUACUUUCUGCCUGGCUUCCCCUCACCCUUCUCUUUGCACAGCUAGCUUUUUCAUAUUCUUUAGGUCUCAGCUUAAAUGUUUUCCAUAAGGACAGAAACUGCCAUGGCUAUCUCAUUCACGACUAUAUCCUCAAGGCCUGCGAUAGUUCCUGGCAAAUAAAAGGCAUUCAAGAAAUUUGUUGGAUGGAUUUUUAAUAGCUAAAAACUGGAAAGAAUCCAAAUGCUACAGACUGUUACAGAAUGAGGCGGCCGCGCUCCACCGCUUCCCCCGCGGAACUGUCGUCCCCGCUGUCGCUGCUGGCCGGCGGCCGCAGGACUCCCCUCUUGACGCGGUGCUCGGGCUCUCGCAGGCACGGCGCGCCUUGCAGCAGGAACUCGCCGCCGCGUGUAAUUACAGGAGUCAAAUGUGGAAGAUGGAAACUCAAGAGUCACUGGCUUUGAAGAUGGAAAGAGGGUCAUGAGCCUCGUGAGCCAAGGAAUGCAGGCAGCCCGAAAAGCUGGAAAAGCUGGAAAAGACAAGGAAAUGGAUUCUUCCCAGAAAGGAAUGCAAUUCUGCCAAUACCUUGAUUUUAGUUAAUGAGACAGAAUUCCAGUCUCCAGAACUGUAAGAUAAUACAUUUGUAUUGUUUAAAGCCUCUAAGUCUGUGGUAAUUUGUUAGACCAUUAGUGGAAAAUUAAUAUACCUCCCCACUCUAUUUAUAACUGCCCCUUUCUCCCCCAUGGGGAUCUGAUCACCCUGAGUGGGAGAUGAGAGUGUGAGACCAAGCUCAAGUUGAAGCCUGGGACAAUGAGAAGCCUGUGUUUUAAUGUUCUGACAUACUUGCUGAAGACCUCUGCUGGUCUGGGGCGGAGGGUAGUUUUAAGGAAAAAUGAGAAAAAUAAGAACCAGGUCAAGUUUCUCAGCGUUUAUUCACCCUGAUUCCAGUAACAGCCUCCACAUUUUUAGGGUUCCACACCUUAUCUACUGUUAGGAAAGUGGUUCUGGGGGAGUUGGUUCUAGCCCAUCCUUAAAUUACCUAGGUGAUUUAGGGCUCGACCAAUCAUCACUGACAUCCCUUUGGCCAUAGUGACUAGUUUAGGCUAGCCAUGUGACUCAAUUUGGGCCAAUGGGAACCAAGCCCAGGGCUCUGUUCUCUUUUUGUGUGGAGGGAAGGGCUCUCUCCCCUGGACCGAAAUCUGGAAGAAUGCAGUUCUGGAUCCAAAGGCAAUGCUCUCUCAGCAUGGAAUCGCAUAAGAAGUGGAACCAAAGGUCAGAGGGAGAUAUUGAGUCCUAAUGACAUCGUUUGAAUCCUGGACUUUGAAGUUAUGUGAGCCAUUAAAUUCCUUCUCCCCCCUCCUCAGUUUUUUAGGAUAUAGUUGGUAUACAGCACUGUUUAAGGUGUAGAACAUAAUGAUUUGACUUAAAUUUAUUGUGAAACGAUUACUACAAUAGGUUUGGUCAAUAUCCAUCGUCUCAUAUAGAUACAAAAAAAAUUUUAUUUUCCUUCUGAUGAGAACUCUUAGGGUCUACUCUCUUAACAACUUUCAGAUAUACCAUACAGCAGUGUUAACUUUGGUCAUCAGGUUAUACUUUACCUCCCUAGUAUAUGUUUAUCUUAUAACUGGAAAUCUGUAUUUUGAUCAGCUUUAUCCAACUUCCCUCUCCUCACCCCGCAAUAAAUUCCUU